AUAUUUAAAAAUAAAAAUGUCUAUGUUUGACUUGCACGUACGAAUGAAAUAAUACGUGUAUAAUAGCUGACGAGUUCAAAAGUAUAACAUUUGAAAAAUAUUUUUUUACUUUAUGUCUGGCUAUUCUAUUGACAAAGUAAACAAGUAGGUAUAUAUUAUAAUAAAAUAAAUGUGACUAUUAAAUUAAUAAUUUUUUUUUAAUUUUAAAAUUGAUUACCUACACAAUUAACACAAUGAUGAUUAGGGAUGUUUUCAAAUGGUUCAUUAUAUCAAUGGCCAUUGUAGGCUGGAUAUUUUUUAUUCUGUGUACUGUUAUUUUGGUACGAUGGACAAGAUUCGUGCAUAGAAAUCCAAAUGCCCAAGAUAUAAUAAAUCAAAUAUUUCUGCGCGUGAUUUUCAUAGACUAAUUAAAAACAAAAGAAAUGUAAUACAAAUUUGCCAACUCCGAAACUGGAAAGAAAUGGAAUUUUCAAAUGAUGUGCAACUAGAAGAGGAACAAGAAUAGUUUUUAGCCAAAGUUGUUUUAAAAAUUAUGAAUGGAUGUUUUUCAAGAACACGUAUUUGUAACACUGUAAAAUUGGUUAUAUAAAAUUAUUCAAAAUUAAAAUGAUCGUCGAUUAUACUAUUA